UGAUAAUAAGUUGGUCUAUGAGGCACAUUGGUAUCCUUGGAGCUGGGACGACCGCAAAACUUGGGAUGUGGAAUUACUGAAUGAAGCUUGUUAUAGAAAAACCCAACACUUUAUCAACCAAACUGGUUUCACCAAUACUUUAGAUCUAGACAAUCCAGUGCCUCUCUUUGUGGGUGAAUUUGGCUUAGAUCAGAGAGGUCUUAGCCGGGCUGAUGACCAUUUUCUUAGCUGCUUUUUGGCCUAUGCUUCUGAAAUUGACUUGGACUGGGGGUUGUGGGGAUUUCAAGGAAGCUAUUAUUUCCGGGAAAAUAAAACUGGCAUGGAGGAAACAUUUG
rnacentral:misc_RNA from 1 species